GGAUUCCCCUAGUAACUGCGAGUGAAGCGGGAAAAGCUCAAAUUUAAAAUCUGGCAGUCUUCGAUUGUCCGAGUUGUAAUUUAGAGAAGCGUUAUCCGCGUCGGACCGUGUACAAGUCUCCUGGAACGGAGCGUCAUAGAGGGUGAGAAUCCCGUCCAUGGCACGGACUACCAAUGCAUUGUGAUGCGCUCUCGAAGAGUCGUGUUGUUUGGGAAUGCAGCACUAAAUGGGUGGUAAAUUCCAUCUAAAGCUAAAUAUAGGCGAGAGACCGAUAGCGAACAAGUACCGUGAGGGAAAGAUGAAAAGAACUUUGGAAAGAGAGUUAAACAGUACGUGAAAUUGUUGAAAGGGAAACGCUUGAAGUCAGUCGCGUCGUUCAGGGAUCAGCCUUGCUCUGCUUGGUGUAUUUCCUGUUCGACGGGUCAGCAUCAGUUUCGACCGCUGGAAAAAGUGCGCAGGAAUGUGGCCUCCUCGGAGGUGUUAUAGCUUGCGUUCGUAUACAGCGAUUGGGACUGAGGAAUCAGCACUCGAUGCUUGGGAUGCUGGCAUAAUGGCUUUAAGCGACCCGUCUUGAAACACGGACCAAGGAGUCUAACAUGCCCGCGAGUGUUUGGGUGAAAAACCCGAGCGCGUAAUGAAAGUGAAAAGUUGGGAUCUCUGUCGUGGAGAGCACCGACGCCCGGACCAGAUGUUUUCGGACGGAUCUGCGGUAGAGCGUGUAUGUUGGGACCCGAAAGAUGGUGAACUAUGCCUGAAUAGGGCGAAGCCAGAGGAAACUCUGGUGGAGGCUCGUAGCGAUUCUGACGUGCAAAUCGAUCGUCGAAUUUGGGUAUAGGGG
rnacentral:rRNA from 1 species